rnacentral:tRNA from 2 species
GGGCCUAUAGCUCAGUUGGUUAGAGCAAUCGACUCAUAAUCGAUUAGUCCUUGGUUCAAGCCCAAGUAGGCCCACCA